ACUCAGGAAACUGUCCAACAUGUUCGGGACUCUUCUCCUCCUUAUCAUGCUCACUCACUUCCCAGGGUCCCUCUCCCAACCUGUGCUGACUCAGCCACCCUCUGCAUCUGCCUCCCUGGGACAAACAGCCAAACUCACCUGUACCCUGAGCAGUGGCUACAGUAAUUACUAUGUGGACUGGUUCCAGCAAAGCCCAGGGAAGAGCCCCAGGUUUGUGAUGCGAGUGGGCACUAGUGGCAUUGUGGGAUCCAAGGGGGAUGGGAUUCCUGAUCGCUUCUCAGGCUCAGGCUCUGGCCUGGAUCGGUACCUGACCAUCCAGAACAUCCAGGAAGAGGAUGAGAGUGUCUACCACUGUGGGUCAAACCAUGGCAGUGGGAGCAGCUUCGUGUAA